rnacentral:rRNA from 1 species
AUUGAACGCUGGCGGCAGGCUUAACACAUGCAAGUCGAGCGGAGAUGAGGUGCCUGCACCUUAUCUUAGCGGCGGACGGGUGAGUAAUGCUUAGGAAUCUGCCUAUUAGUGGGGGACAACAUUCCGAAAGGAAUGCUAAUACCGCAUACGCCCUACGGGGGAAAGCAGGGGAUCUUCGGACCUUGCGCUAAUAGAUGAGCCUAAGUCGGAUUAGCUAGUUGGUGGGGUAAAGGCCUACCAAGGCGACGAUCUGUAGCGGGUCUGAGAGGAUGAUCCGCCACACUGGAACUGAGACACGGCCCAGACUCCUACGGGAGGCAGCAGUGGGGAAUAUUGGACAAUGGGCGGAAGCCUGAUCCAGCCAUGCCGCGUGUGUGAAGAAGGCCUUUUGGUUGUAAAGCACUUUAAGCGAGGAGGAGGCUACCUGGAUUAAUACUCUAGGAUAGUGGACGUUACUCGCAGAAUAAGCACCGGCUAACUCUGUGCCAGCAGCCGCCGUAAGAC